rnacentral:rRNA from 1 species
UACGUAGGUGGCAAGCGUUGUCCGGAUUUAUUGGGUUUAAAGGGUGCGUAGGCGGUCUUUUAAGUUAGUGCUGAAAUACUCCAGCUUAACUGGAGGGGUGGCAUUGAUACUGGAAGACUUGAGUGUAGUCGAGGUAGGCGGAAUUGACGGUGUAGCGGUGAAAUGCUUAGAUAUCGUCAAGAACACCGAUAGUGAAGACAGCUUACUAGGCUACAACUGACGCUGAGGCACGAAAGUGUGGGGAUCAAACAGG